ACUACCCAUGGAAAACAGGAUUCCUCUAAAAGAAUCAAUAAAAGCAAUUUUGCACAGCUCUUCAAAAACAUUGCAGUCUAUACCCAUGCUUGAUGUCCCAUUGUUAAACAUAAACACCAUGACUGAAAACAUAAUAGAUGGUAUUGAAUAUAUCGCAAGAGAGUGCGAUCUGUUAUGCACAUUUGGGAUAUGGGAUGAAACUUGCUCAUCCCAGAUAUUUUCUGUUAUAUGUGACCUCACAGUUUUGACAUGAUGUUUGUAAUGCAAAUAGCAACUUUCAAACUGGAGGAACAAUGACAAUGAUCAAAGGAAUCCCGAGAUGUAUGCUGGACAGAUUUUUUGUGAAUUCCAAUAGAACAAUCAACUGCUUCUGUAACUUGACUUAUCCCUGUUGUUGCUCUGCAGAUUUUACUAAUGGAGUUCAAAGUUUUGUUUGCACCCAUGCGUUGGACAAUACUCUUUGACACUUUGUUGUAUAUUUCCUGUGCCAAGUCGUCCUCAAUAUUCUUCCCUGCACCUCCUCGAUAGUUCACAAAGAAUCCCCAUUUGAAUUCUUCUGACAAUCUAGGGGUCAAGAGGCAUUCAAUCUGUGCUAUGCUAACAAACAUCUCGAUAGCAUAUUUGCUGUAACUUCCCAUUGAUUUGAAUACAGCCAGUAACAGUUUUUGAUUGAUCAGAUUUCUGUUGCCAUCAGCUUCUUUAGCAGUAUCUUUCAUUUGUAAUAGCAGAAUAGACAAGAAGAUGAAACACAACCCAUAGUUCAUGACAUAGUCUUCAUCAUCAUACGACUCGUUGGUACCUUUCUGCAGGACCAUUCUGUCAACGAAUUGCCCAAAAACAUUGUCAUAGUAUCUUGUCUUGCUUUCUUUGUUUGCCCUCCUGAUGUUGUCGGGGAAAACAUGGUCAGUAGGUUUGUCGUCAAGCUUUUUCAUACCAAAAAACUUAAGAACAGCAGCAACAAUGUAAGCUUUUCCCACGCUUAUAAACAAGUCCUCGCUUCCUUCGUAAGAGUCAAGAACUUUGGAUGGUGUAGCAUUCUUACGGUGAUACUUCUCUCUAAAAUACUUUAAUGUCCCAACCUGGUUUACGGACUCUGAUUUGUGAAGAAAUGAAUACGAAUAUUGGAGAAGUGAAGCUUUGGUAUGCCACAUCACAGGUUUGAAAGGCGAGCAAUGCUCAAACCUAUCUGAAGGCGUAUGAGACCCUGACAAAAGAUCCUUCGCACCAGCAAAACGCACUCUCGUUAACUGAUCCCCGGCAAAUGCAAUCUUCAUAUCUCUCAUUUGAUCAUUCGGAGUUGCUGCUUGAUGGGCAUGCGUCUGACCAGGGGCCGCAGGUCCAGCAGGCACUGGUGGAUUCUCUAUGGGGGGCAUUUCUUUGAGAAAACCAGCUUGAACAUAUAUUUCAGAAAUCCACUUUUCGUAAGUACGAAGGAUGGAAACACAAUCUUCAUAUUUUGCCUCAUUGGCAUUUAUUAUAGGCAUGCUAACAAUGGUUGACUGCUGUUCCAUUUCUUUACUGUAAACAUGUGAGAUAUGUUCCGGAACAACACCAUUUAGAAACUUGAAAUGGGGAAGAUAUUGAAGAACAAUCCGACCUACAAUAACCUUGGCAUUGUUUGCAUACUGUUUCCACUCAUUUACAUUUAAAGAAAAUGUGGAACGUGGAAGGUCGUCAAUGUUCCUCUUUGGCAUAUCAUUUGAAUCCUUAGAUCCCAAUUAUCUCCUGUACCACGGAAUACCUUUCCUUUCCUGAUCUUAUUGACAACUUGAUCAGAAAAAUGGCCUCCAAGCAUCCUGAUGAGUGCAUCCCUUCUUGAUGUGGACAGACACACCCCAAGCUUGUUCAAUCUUUCUUGUAACUACCAGAAAAAAUACACCUUUGCCUUUCUUUAAGCAGAGAUAGAAAUUCAUUAAAGAUAAUCUUGCACUUUCACAAUUUCACAAAAAAGUACAAAUUAUCUUAAGUGAAUUUUUAUUUUUGCUUAAUGAAGGGCAAGUGGAAGGGACAUUUCUGUGCAAUAUUAGCAAGGUUAUCUGCGUGUAAAGCCCGGAUCAAACGAGGACGAAAGUCCAUCGCAAAUUCAACUUGCGAAGUACUUGAACUUCCUGUUCAAACGUUUUAAAAAAUUGCGAUGAAAAUUUUAAAUUAUUCAAUGUUGUCGGAAGUCAACUCAAGUCAUCGCAAGUGGACAGUCACACGAGGUACAAGCAUGCACGCGCAAAACCUGAAGCAAAAACUUGCGAUGGACUUGCGU